CAAUAGCGUAUAUUAAAGUUGUUGCAGUUAAAAAGCUCGUAGUUGGAUUUGUGGCGUACGGUGUGUUCCGGGCACUUGUUGUCUGAGUAACCUGCUGUUGCCAUCCUUGGGUGGAACCUGUGUGGCAUUAGGUUGUCGUGCAGGGGAUGCCCAUCAUUUACUGUGAAAAAAUUAGAGUGUUCAAAGCAGGCUUAUGCCGUUGAAUAUAUUAGCAUGGAAUAAUGAGAUAGGACUUUUUUGCUAUUUUGUUGGUUUGCGCAAGAAGGUAAUGAUUAAUAGGGACAGUUGAGGGUAUUCGUAUUCCAUUGUCAGAGGUGAAAUUCUUGGAUUUUUGGAAGACGAACUACUGCGAAAGCAUUUACCAAGGAUGUUUUCAUUAA
rnacentral:rRNA from 1 species